rnacentral:rRNA from 1 species
UCGCCUGUUUUAUCAAAAACAUGUCUUUAUGAAUUUUAUGUAAAGUCUAGCCUGCCCAGUGAUAUUAAAGUUCAACGGCCGCGGUAGCAUGACCGUGCUAAGGUAGCAUAAUCAUUUGUCCCUUAAUUGGGGACUGGUAUGAACGGCUGAACAAGAAAUCGACUGUCUCCGCUAUAAAUUUUGAAUUUAACGUUUAAGUGAAAAGGCUUAAAUAAGAUAGGGGGACGAUAAGACCCUAUAAAUCUUGAUAAUUAAAGUAAUAGUUUUUACGUAGUAGUUAUAAGCUUAAAUCUAAUGCUUUGAUUAUUUUGUUGGGGCGACAAGGGUAUAAUAAAUAACUGCCUUGAAGAGAUAGUUAAUUAUUUUUAUUAUGUUAUGUUUAAGAUCCUUCUUUGAAGAUAUCAGAUCAAGUUACUUUAGGGAUAACAGCGUAAUCUUCCUUGAGAGUCCAUAUCGAAAGGAGGGGUUGCGACCUCGAUGUUGAAUUAAAGAACCUUUGUGGUGUAGCAGCUACUAGAGGAGGUCUGUUCGACCUUUAAAUCUUUACAUGAUCUGAGUUUCAAACCA